rnacentral:rRNA from 1 species
ACACGUGGAGCUGACGGAUACUAAUCGAUCGAGGACUUAACUUCGCAAGAAAAGACGUAUUCGUCUUUGGCAGUUCGUAUUUAGUUUUGAAGGUGCUUAGCACCAAUAACAUAAGAGUCCGGUGGCGAUGGCAGAGAGGUCACACCUGUUCCCAUGCCGAACACAGCAGUUAAGCUCUCUAGCGCCGAUGGUAAUUGGGGUGUUUCCCCUGUGAGAGUAGGACGCCGCCGGGC